GGCAGGUGGUGCAUGGUUGUCGUCAGCUCGUGUCGUGAGAUGUUGGGUUAAGUCCCGCAACGAGCGCAACCCUCGACCUUAGUUGCCAGCAUUCAGUUGGGCACUCUAAGGUGACUGCCGGCUAAAAGUCGGAGGAAGGUGGGGAUGACGUCAAAUCAUCAUGCCCCUUAUGACCUGGGCUACACACGUGCUACAAUGGGCGGUACAAAGGGUCGCGAACCCGCGAGGGGGAGCCAAUCCCAAAAAAGCCGCUCUCAGUUCGGAUUGCAGGCUGCAACUCGCCUGCAUGAAGCCGGAAUCGCUAGUAAUCGCGGAUCAGCAUGCCGCGGUGAAUACGUUCCCGGGCCUU
rnacentral:rRNA from 1 species